rnacentral:ribozyme from 13 species
UUCUCCCUUCUCUUUCUUCUUCUUUUUCUCUCCUUUCUCUUCUCCUUUCUCGGGUUUUAUAUCAUAAAAAUACUCGAAAUGAUGAGAUGGAG